AGUGAACGCUGGCGGUAGGCCUAACACAUGCAAGUCGAACGGCAGCACAGUAAGAGCUUGCUCUUACGGGUGGCGAGUGGCGGACGGGUGAGGAAUACAUCGGACUCUACUUUUUCGUGGGGGAUAACGUAGGGAAACUUACGCUAAUACCGCAUACGACCUACGGGUGAAAGCAGGGGAUCUUCGCACCUUGCGCGAUUGAAUGAGCCGAUGUCGGAUUAGCUAGUUGGCGGGGUAAAGGCCCACCAAGGCGACGAUCCGUAGCUGGUCUGAGAGGAUGGUCAGCCACACUGGAACUGAGACACGGUCCAGACUCCUACGGGAGGCAGCAGUGGGGAAUAUUGGACAAUGGGCGCAAGCCUGAUCCAGCCAUACCGCGUGGGUGAAGAAGGCCUUGGGGUUGUAAAGCCCUUUUGUUGGGAAAGAAAAGCAGCAGGUUAAGACCCCGCUGUUCUGACGGUACCCAAAGAAUAAGCACCGGCUAACUUCGUG
rnacentral:rRNA from 1 species